rnacentral:rRNA from 1 species
GACGAACGCUGGCGGCGUGCUUAACACAUGCAAGUCGAACGAAGUGGCGAACGGGUGAGUAACGCGUAAUCAACCUGCCCUUCAGAGGGGGACAACAGUUGGAAACGACUGCUAAUACCGCAUACUGAAGGAGGGGAUUGCGUCGGGUUAGCGAGUUGGAGGGGUAACGGCCCACCAAGGCGAUGAUCAGUAGCCGGUCUGAGAGGGUGAACCACCACAUUGGGACUGAGGCACGGCCCAGGCUCCUACGGGGGGGAGCAGUGGGGAAUCUUCCGCAAUGGGCGAAAGUCUGACGGAGCAACGCCGGGUUAUGGAUGACGGCCUUCGGGUUGUAAAGCUCUGUUAAUCGGGACGCGGUACCGAAAUAGAAAGCCACGGCUAACUACGUGCCAGCCGCCGCGGUAAUAC